CCAACUAUAGUUCAUAGUAAUAUUCUUUUGUUAAUAGAAAGGGGUUUGUUGGU
rnacentral:tRNA from 1 species